CGAAAGUAGAAAUGACUUCCGUAACCGUGUGUGCGUACCCGAAAGAAAAGGGCACUCCGGCUUUAGAGUCACCAAGUUGGAUUUUGAAGUUCACCUCCAACAGGCUUCUGAAUAACACUGAAAGCUGUGGGAUUCCUGAAAGGAUCCACCAUUAGAAGAAAAUAAAAAGAAAGGACCUCCCCUCUCCCACCUUCGCCCCUUUUUUGCCCGAGAGCCCCUGAUGCCAUCUGCACUGCCAAUGUGGGCGCUUGGCCUCUGCCAGGAGGGGGACAAAGACCCUGCCGGAUACCCUGCCGGAGUAAGGGCUUGCACAGAGGAGCCAUCUUGGGAGAUGUUUGCCGUGACACCUAAAAUGGCUGGGCUGGCACAUGAGGAUGGGACAGGACCUGCAUCUCUGCACUCUGUAGGACUCUGACGGCGUGGAAGAAAACUCAUCAGACUGUUGUCCUAAUAGAAUAUAAAAUUUAACGAAACUGAAACCUGAGUGUAUCAUCGAAAUAAAGUAUAAACAGCAGGUUUACUAUGAAACACAUUAUUCAAGAUCAAGGCCUCUGUUAAGCAAAAAAAAACAACAAAACCCUAUUUUAAGACACUGUAAAUGUAAUGCCAUAUAUGAUUUGACAUGUUUAUACUGAUGUCUUUGUUUAAAAACUGUUAAUAAAUCACUUUUUUCCCACUAAAUAAUGUUUGUAUAUUUUCACAGUAAAUGCCUGCUUUUUUUAAUUAAUUAAAUAUUUUAUUUUAAUAUGUCU